UACGUAGGGCGCAAGCGUUGUCCGGAAUUAUUGGGCGUAAAGAGCUCGUAGGCGGCUUGUCACGUCGGAUGUGAAAGCCCAGGGCUCAACCUUGGAAUUGCAUUCGAGACUGCAUAGCUAGGAUGCGGAAGAGGGAAGCGGAAUUUCCGGUGUAGCGGUGAAAUGCGUAGAUAUCGGAAGGAACACCAGUGGCGAAAGCGGCUUCCUGGUCCAGCAUCGACGUUCAGGCACGAAAGCGUGGGGAGCAAACAGG
rnacentral:rRNA from 1 species